rnacentral:rRNA from 1 species
AGUGAACGCUGGCGGUAGGCCUAACACAUGCAAGUCGAACGGCAGCACAGUAAGAGCUUGCUCUUACGGGUGGCGAGUGGCGGACGGGUGAGGAAUACAUCGGAAUCUACUUUUUCGUGGGGGAUAACGUAGGGAAACUUACGCUAAUACCGCAUACGACCUACGGUUGAAAGCAUGGGAUCUUCGGACCUUGCGCGAUUGAAUGAGCCGAUGUCGGAUUAGCUAGUUGGCGGGGUAAAGGCCCACCAAGGCGACGAUCCGUAGCUGGUCUGAGAGGAUGAUAAGCCACACUGGAACUGAGACACGGUCCAGACUCCUACGGGAGGCAGCAGUGGGGAAUAUUGGACAAUGGGCGCAAGCCUGAUCCAGCCAUACCGCGUGGGUGAAGAAGGCCUUCGGGUUGUAAAGCCCUUUUGUUGGGAAAGAAAAGCAGCAGGUUAAUACCCCGCUGUUCUGACGGUACCCAAAGAAUAAGCACCGGCUAACUUCGUG